AUGCUUGAGAAUAUUCUUUGGCUCCCCUUGUGUCGAAUCAAUAAAUUUGGGUUGAAUACUCUACCCUCGAAAACUAUUGCAAUCCCCUAUACUUGUGGGUUAUCAGCAUAUCUCUUCGAGUUUACUGGGAUCUGGCUACGCACGACUGACCCUUACCGGCCUUGGCAUCACCUUCACUUGUCGGAUGAUGCUGCGGUGCGCGACAUCUUCCGUGCGUCGACCACUUGGCACGUCGACAACGGUCAAACCUGCCGCUUCUGGGUGGACCAUUGGCUCGAUGGCAAGUCUAUAUCCAAGCUUGCUCCUAACCUGAUCAAGCUGGUGCCCCGGCGACACCGCAGUAAGCGCCUUGUGCAUGAGGCGCUCUCAAACCGGGCAUGGAUCAGUGACAUCCAAGGCGCUUUGGGCGUGGUGGCCACGGUCGAGUGCAUCCAUCUUUGGAGACGCCUCCUUCAUGUAUCCCUGUCCGCCGACCCCGAUCGUGUUCGCUAGCGCUGUACCGAGCAUGGAACCUACUCGGCCUCAUCUUGCUACAAAGCGCUCUUCCAUGGCUCCAUCGCCGACCCGGACUGGCGGCUAACUUGGAAGGGCUGGGCUUCGACCAACGCCAAGCUCUUCUUGUGGCUUGCGAAGCUUGACCGAUGCUAG
rnacentral:rRNA from 1 species